rnacentral:rRNA from 1 species
AUUGAACGCUGGCGGCAGGCCUAACACAUGCAAGUCGAGCGGAUGAAGGGAGCUUGCUCCUGGAUUCAGCGGCGGACGGGUGAGUAAUGCCUAGGAAUCUGCCUGGUAGUGGGGGAUAACGUCCGGAAACGGGCGCUAAUACCGCAUACGUCCUGAGGGAGAAAGUGGGGGAUCUUCGGACCUCACGCUAUCAGAUGAGCCUAGGUCGGAUUAGCUAGUUGGUGGGGUAAAGGCCUACCAAGGCGACGAUCCGUAACUGGUCUGAGAGGAUGAUCAGUCACACUGGAACUGAGACACGGGCCAGACUCCUACGGGAGGCAGCAGUGGGGAAUAUUGGACAAUGGGCGAAAGCCUGAUCCAGCCAUGCCGCGUGUGUGAAGAAGGUCUUCGGAUUGUAAAGCACUUUAAGUUGGGAGGAAGGGCAGUAAGUUAAUACCUUGCUGUUUUGACGUUACCAACAGAAUAAGCCCCGGCUAACUUCGUG